CCUACGGGCGGCAGCAGUGGGGAAUAUUGCGCAAUGGGCGAAAGCUUGACGCAGCGACGCCGCGUGAGGGAUGAAGGUCUUCGGAUCGUAAACCUCUGUUAGCAGGGAAGAACGGUCACUGUGCUAAUCAGCAGUGAAUUGACGGUACCUGCAAAGGAAGCACUGGCUAACUCCGUGCCAGCAGCCGCGGUAAUACGGAGGGUGCGAGCGUUAAUCGGAAUUACUGGGCGUAAAGCGUUCGUAGGCGGUAUGUUAAGUCAAGGGGGAAAUCCCCGGGCUCAACGUGGGAACUGCCUUUGAUACUAGCAAACUGGAGUGUGUGAGAGGAUAGUGGAAUUCCAGGUGUAGGAGUGAAAUGCGUAGAUAUAGGGAAGAACAUCAGAGGCGAAGGCGACUAACUGGGUCAAAACUGACGCUGAGGGGCGAAAGCGUGGGUAGCAAACAGGAUUAGAUACCCUGGUAGUC
rnacentral:rRNA from 1 species